AUUGAACGCUGGCGGCAGGCUUAACACAUGCAAGUCGAGCGGGGUGAUGGUGCUUGCACUAUCACUUAGCGGCGGACGGGUGAGUAAUGCUUAGGAAUCUGCCUAUUAGUGGGGGACAACAUCUCGAAAGGGAUGCUAAUACCGCAUACGUCCUACGGGAGAAAGCAGGGGAUCACUUGUGACCUUGCGCUAAUAGAUGAGCCUAAGUCGGAUUAGCUAGUUGGUGGGGUAAAGGCCUACCAAGGCGACGAUCUGUAGCGGGUCUGAGAGGAUGAGCCGCCACACCGGGACUGAGACACGGCCCAGACUCCUACGGGAGGCAGCAGUGGGGAAUAUUGGACAAUGGGGGGAACCCUGAUCCAGCCAUGCCGCGUGUGUGAAGAAGGCCUUAUGGUUGUAAAGCACUUUAAGCGAGGAGGAGGCUCUUUUGGUUAAUACCCAGAAUGAGUGGACGUUACUCGCAGAAUAAGCACCGGCUAACUCUGUGCCAGCAGCCGCCGUAA
rnacentral:rRNA from 1 species